rnacentral:rRNA from 1 species
CCUACGGGAGGCAGCAGUGGGGAAUUUUGGACAAUGGGGGGCAACCCUGAUCCAGCAAUGCCGCGUGAGUGAAGAAGGCCCUCGGGUUGUAAAGCUCUUUUGUCAGGGAAGAAACGGUGGUUCCUAAUACGAGCUGCUAAUGACGGUACCUGAAGAAUAAGCACCGGCUAACUACGUGCCAGCAGCCGCGGUAAUACGUAGGGUGCAAGCGUUAAUCGGAAUUACUGGGCGUAAAGCGUGCGCAGGCGGUUAUAUAAGACAGAGGUGAAAUCCCCGGGCUCAACCUGGGAACUGCCUUUGUGACUGUAUGGCUAGAGUGUGUCAGAGGGGGGUAGAAUUCCACGUGUAGCAGUGAAAUGCGUAGAUAUGUGGAGGAAUACCGAUGGCGAAGGCAGCCCCCUGGGAUAACACUGACGCUCAUGCACGAAAGCGUGGGGAGCAAACAGGAUUAGAUACCCUGGUAGUCCACGCCCUAAACGAUGUCUACUAGUUGUCGGGACUUAAUUGUCUUGGUAACGCAGCUAACGCGUGAAGUAGACCGCCUGGGGAGUACGGUCGCAAGAUUAAAACUCAAAUGAAUUGACGG